UGCUGAGGAUGUUUUGUGCCAAGAAGGGAGAAAGAAAUCCUGACAAAUAACAAGUUCAUGGAGUGCUUAAAUCUGAAGACAUGUUCAAGGAUUCCUUUUCUUCCUGAAAGGACCUGCUGGCACUUCUCUCCCCAGCUGUCUCUGAGUGAAGGCAGGCAGGCUGGCAGCUGGACAGGGUUGGAGGAGCAGAGCAUAAACUCCAGAUGA
rnacentral:lncRNA from 1 species